rnacentral:rRNA from 1 species
UGGGGAAUAUUGGACAAUGGGGGGAACCCUGAUCCAGCCAUGCCGCGUGUGUGAAGAAGGCCUUUUGGUUGUAAAGCACUUUAAGCGAGGAGGAGGCUACUUAGAUUAAUACUCUAAGAUAGUGGACGUUACUCGCAGAAUAAGCACCGGCUAACUCUGUGCCAGCAGCCGCGGUAAUACAGAGGGUGCAAGCGUUAAUCGGAUUUACUGGGCGUAAAGGGUACGUAGGUGGUCUUUUAAGUCGGAUGUGAAAUCCCUGAGCUUAACUUAGGAAUUGCAUUUGAUACUGAAAGACUAGAGUAUGGGAGAGGAUGGUAGAAUUCCAGGUGUAGCGGUGAAAUGCGUAGAGAUCUGGAGGAAUACCGAUGGCGAAGGCAGCCAUCUGGCCUAAUACUGACACUGAGGUACGAAAGCAUGGGGAGCAAACA